AGAAAUGUUUGUCCAUAUUGGAGAACCGGACCACCCUCUCCACCACCUACUGCAGGGACAGCGGAGCACGUUCUCCAACAGACUGCUUUAGCUCUGCUUCACAAGGACAGACCGGAGAACAUUCCUGAUAGAGGAGAACAUUCAUGAUACAGGAGAACCUUCCUAAUACAGGAGGACAUUCCUGAGACAUGAGAACAUUCCUGAUACAGGAGAACUUUCCAGUUACAGGAGAACAUUCCAGAUUCAGGAGAACCUUCUAGAAACAGGAGAACCUUCCAGAUACAGGAGAACCUUCCAGUUACAGGAGAACAUUCCUGGCAACUAUUAGACUUUACAAUGAAUCACCUCUGGCCAGAUCCUCCUCAAAUUGAACAACAUCAAUGAACAUUGCACCGCUUUCACUUUAUAUACACUUAGAUACACUGUAUUUACUUUCAUUUUUAUUACUUUUUAAAUUUCCUUUAUUAUUUAACUUCUUAAAUGUAAUAUGUCCUGUCCUGCUAUUUUAUUGUAUUGUAUUGUAUUCUUCUAAGAAUCUAGUUACUAGAGAAGAAAAUAGCACAGACAGAGACAGACAGACAGCCCGUCCAACAGAGAGAGAGAGAGAGAGAGAGAGUUCAAAGGAGAGGCCAGGUGUCAGUGAUCAGUCUGAUCACAGCAAUCAACACAAAAAGCAGAUUGAACUGUUGAACCCGGUUUCGCGCCACUUCUCCGCAGUUUGAGCGGCGCGCUGCUCUCCUGCUUCAGUGACUCAGGAAACGCCACAGAGGGAACGACAGCCUCCUGACAUGACAGCUGUUCUUGAGAGAGAAUCAUGUCAGCCCACAGACAACCGUUGACCUGUGAGUCUUCAAGCAGUAAUGAUGACUACGCCUGCCUUAAGUUCCAGUUUCCUGAACAUCAUGUCGGCAUGAGAUUCUGUCCCCACCUGUCUUCAGUCUGGACCCAAUGAUUCGGACACCAGUCUUGUCGAGGCUAAAUUGAGAUCAAGCAUUGACGGGAAAACACCCAAAGUCCAUCACUCAUGCACCGAGGAUCUGGCUGAUUACUGGAAAUUAGGAAGAUUGUUCUUUAUCUGCACUGUCACUUCUGGUAAAUAUUUAUGGACCUUUGCGGUAUGUUUUGCUUUGACUUAUCAACUGAUGGUGAAUAAUUGGUUGAUUUUGAAAAUGUACAUUAAAUAAAAUGUUUUAAAAUCAAUA